CUGUCAUGGCAUAGACAAACCCUUCACUGGUGCUCCUGGGGAUGAGACCACCAAAGUCACUCAAGGCUGGGAUACAGAGACUCAUUCACAAAAAGAGCUUUUUAAAAUAUUGGCUUUUAUUAUCAAAUAUCAAGCAUAUCAAAAAUGUGUGGAGAAUCACCAUCACUCAGCUUUAAUAAACCCAAACCUUUCUCACAUUUGCUAUUUUUUAAUGCAGUAACACUGCAGAUACAAUUGAAGCAUUCCCUGUGUACACCUCAAUCUACCUUUCUCCUCCUCCUCUGAAGGUAAACAAACCAGAUUUUGGUAUUUAUGCAUGCUUUUACACUUUUAAAAGUGUACACAACACUUUUGCGUGUUCUAAAACUGCUAAAUCUUAUCACACAGCACAUAUCACUUGGUCAUUUUUAAGUCAUCAUUAUUUUUGAGAUGUAAUCAAGUUAAUACAUACUUUAUGUUAAUUCAUUUUAACAGCCAAAUACUACAAAUAUACCACAAUUUAUUUAUCCAUCCUUCUAAUGGACAUUGGUUCCAGGUUUUUACAAUUAAAAACAAUACCACAGUGAACUUUCUGUAUAUCUCCUUGAGUACACAUGCCAAGAAUUCCUAUAAAGUAUAAUACCCAGAGAUUGGGUUAGUGUAUAAGCAUCUUCAAAUAAACUAGAUGCUGCCAAACCAUUCUCCAAAGUAACAGCAAAUUUCAGUGACACCAGAAAUGAUGAGAGCCCAACACUCCAGACUUAGCAAUGUGUGGAAGUGUGAGGUUUAUGUUGUUUUCAUUUUUGCCCAUCUAAUGGCAGUAAAAUUGUAUAUCAAUGUUGUUUUAAUGUGCAAUUCUUUGAUUACUAGUGAGAUUAAGCAUCUUUUCCUAUGAAUGACUACUCAGGGAUCCUCAUCUAUGAAUUGCCCGUUCAUAUCCUUUGAUCAUUUUCUUGAUUCAUAUGGAGUCCUUUGUCAGGUGCAAGGCACAUUUUCUUGGUCUAGAAUUACCAUCUGCUUUGUAAUUGUUUGACUCCGCAAAAAUCAGAAGGCACUAACAGACAGCCAACCCAUCCCCAUGGUGCCCUGAGUGAAGACAAGUCAGCUUUGAUAUAUGAUGGACUAAAAUCCCACUACCUAAGGCUUCAAGCAGUGAGAGGAACAGCCAUCAAAGUUUAUCUCCAAUCAUUUUAGGAAACAGUUAAAGACAUUAAGUGACUUGUAGGAAUCACUACAUCUAAAUUUUUAAAGAGUCAGUCAAGAACUAGAAGAAAGUAUCAACUGGUCCAGCUAGAUACACAAAAUGAAGAAUUAGAUGAUAAAUUAGUGCCAAGAACAAGAUUAAUUAAUUAAAGAAAAUGUUAUUGAAACAAUUUUAUAGGGAUACACAUUAUAGUCCUUAUUACCAUUCUUUGCCUUAUUCUAAAACUAAAUUAGGUUUUGGGUGCUAGGGGUAAAGAUAAUAAGGGAUAGGCCAAUUGGCAGAAAGAUGCUCAGAAGCAAUCAAAACAAAGAAUUUUGGACAACGUAUUGUGCAGGUGUCAGAAACUGCCAAGUCAUAC
rnacentral:lncRNA from 1 species